rnacentral:rRNA from 1 species
CCUACGGGGGGCAGCAGUGAGGAAUAUUGGUCAAUGGGCGCGAGCCUGAACCAGCCAAGUCGCGUGAGGGAAGACGGUCCUGUGGAUUGUAAACCUCUUUUGUCGGGGAGCAAAGGAUGCCACGCGUGGCGUUCCGAGUGUACCCGAAGAAAAAGCAUCGGCUAACUCCGUGCCAGCAGCCGCGGUAAUACGGAGGAUGCGAGGGUUAUCCGGAUUUAUUGGGUUUAAAGGGUGCGCAGGCGGACUGUCAAGUCAGCGGUAAAAUCCCGGGGCUCAACCCGGGCCGGCCGUUGAAACUGGGAAGCUUGAGUGGGAGAGAAGUAUGCGGAAUGCGUGGUGUAGCGGUGAAAUGCAUAGAUAUCGCGCAGAACUCCGAUUGCGAAGGCAGCAUACCGGCGCCCGACUGACGCUGAGGCACGAAAGCGUGGGGAUCGAACAGGAUUAGAUACCCGUGUAGUC